ACUCAAAUGAAUUGACGGGGGCCCGCACAAGCGGUGGAGCAUGUGGUUCAAUUCGACGCAACGCGAAGAACCUUACCUGGGCUCGAACGGCUAUGGACAAUCCUUGGAAACAGGGACUUCUCGCAAGAGACUGUAGUCGAGGUGCUGCAUGGCUGUCGUCAGCUCGUGUCGUGAGAUGUUGGGUUAAGUCCCGCAACGAGCGCAACCCUUGUCCUGUGUUGCCAUCAUUUAGUUGGGAACUCUCAGGAGACCGCCAGCGAUAAGCUGGAGGAAGGUGGGGAUGAUGUCAAGUCAUCAUGGCCUUUAUGUCCAGGGCUACACACGUGCUACAAUGGCCGGUACAAAGCGCUGCAAACUCGCAAGAGGGAGCUAAUCGCAAAAAACCGGUCUCAGUUCGGAUCGCAGGCUGCAACUCGCCUGCGUGAAGCUGGAAUCGCUAGUAAUGCCGUAUCAGAACGAUGGCGUGAAUACGUUCCCGGGCCUUGUACACACCGCCCGU
rnacentral:rRNA from 1 species